GUGUGAGAAAGGUUGAGUGUGUAUAAGAAGUGAGUGAAAGAGAUUACCAACAACAGCAACAAUAACUUACAAAGUCUAAUGGCCUUGAAUCAAAAUAAAUAAAAAGAGAAAAUAAUGAGAGAGUGGUUGAGAGAUAGAAAAAGAGAUUGUCAAAACUGCAGAAAGUUGAAAUCAAUGAGUUGUAUGUAUAACUAAAUGCUUUCCGUAAAAAUCGAAUAACAAGAAAGACAACAACAGCUUUAAAUUGAAAUACGUAAAGAACAAAGAUGCAUACUACAAAGCAAAGAAUGGGAUGGCAAGAAGAAGACAAUAUGUUAUUAGAGGACGUCACAUCCAGCACACUGACUACAUCCACAAUGGCCCCAGCCACACGGCAGUCGCUGCCAUAGAAGCUUCACAGGACCUACAGCGACAGACCAUCAGUUUGAAAGCAAACAAAAGAUUCGAAACUUUAGAAAAAUCGGAUGAACCAAAUACCUUACAUGCGCUACAGAAACACAUCUUCUAUCAAAGACCAACCCUUUUGUGCACCGUUUUCAGACACAUGAUCCUUCAGGAAUUUGAAAAUGAAUGGCAGAUUUUUUGUUUAUGGGAUAUGCUAAAGCCCAAAUCGCUGACGUUGAAAACACAUCAAAAAUCAUGUCAACUUGCCAGACUAGAAAUACCAACAUUUAACUAAAUUUGUGAGUUGCGAGAUUAACCUUAUCGUGAAUGCGGAGGCACAGCACCUAAAUCUAGAAUCACAAAAUUUUACAUAAACAUCAUCUGUGGUGAGAGGUGGCAGAAUAUGGCUGGCAUAUAGGAAAUGCGCACUUUAUUGACUAAACAUCUAAAUAAUCUUAAAGUGGUUAUACUAAAUAUUGUAGUUCCGAACAACAAUUCUGAUCAAAUUCUUUGAUAAUUGAAAGACUUCUGUCAUCAUUGUAAGACUUUAUACAAAAACGUUAUCCCGGCCGCUGGCCUGCAAUGAAAUUAGUUUCGAAUUUUAUGAAAUUAAUUUUUUUUCUAUCUGCAAUACCAUAUUGUUUAAUAUUUAUAAAGACAACUCUAAAACAAUAAAGUUCCAGGAAUUCAAAAAUAAUUAAAA